UACGUAGGUGACAAGCGUUAUCCGGAAUUACUGGGCGUAAAGCGCACGCAGGCGGCGCAUUAAGUCUGACGUGAAAUCUCCUGGCUUAACUGGGAGGGGUCGUUGGAGACUGGUGUGCUUGAGGCGAUGAGAGGGGUGUAGAAUUCCCGGUGUAGUGGUGGAAUGCGUAGAUAUCGGAGGAAUACCAGUGGCGAAAGCGACACCCUGGCAUUAGCCUGACGCUCAUGUGCGAAGGCGUGGGGAGCGAACGGG
rnacentral:rRNA from 1 species